GCCAAGGUGGCGUAGUGGUUAGCGCAUCUGUCUAGUAAACAGGUGAUCUGCGUUCGAAUCCCAGCCUAGGUA